GUUGACCUCGGAUCAGGUAGGGAUACCCGCUGAACUUAAGCAUAUCAAUAAGCGCAGG
rnacentral:rRNA from 1 species